rnacentral:rRNA from 1 species
UACGAAGGGUGCAAGCGUUAAUCGGAAUUACUGGGCGUAAAGGGUGCGUAGGCGGUUCGUUAAGUCUGUCAUGAAAUCCCCGGGCUCAACCUGGGAAUGGCGAUGGAUACUGGCGAGCUAGAGUGUGUCAGAGGAUGGUGGAAUUCCCGGUGUAGCGGUGAAAUGCGUAGAGAUCGGGAGGAACAUCAGUGGCGAAGGCGGCCAUCUGGGACAACACUGACGCUGAAGCACGAAAGCGUGGGGAGCAAACAGG